rnacentral:rRNA from 1 species
GAAGUCUAACAUGUGCGCAAGUCACUGGGCUAAAAACCCAAAGGCGAAAUGAAAGUGAAGGAAGCUUUGCUUUCUGAGGGAGGAUGGGCACGCAGCCUAAAAAGCGGUGCUCCGCACUCCCGGGGCGUCUCUUUCUCAUUGCGAGUGGAGGCGCACCCAGAGCGUACACGUUAGGACCCGAAAGAUGGUGAACUAUGCCUGGUGAGGACGAAGCCAGGGGAAACCCUGGUGGAGGUCCGUAGCGAUUCUGACGUGCAAAUCGAUCGUCAGAGCUGGGUAUAGGGGCGAUAGACUAAUCGAACCAUCUAGUAGCUGGUUCCUUCCGAAGUUUCCCUCAGGAUAGCUGGUGCCCUUGUGAGACGAGUCUCAUCCGGUAAAGCGAAUGAUUAGAGGCAUUGGGGCCGAAACGACCUCAACCUAUUCUCAAACUUUAAAUAGAUGAGAACUCCGGCUUGCUUGAAAAGUGAAGCCGGAGAUUCGGAUCUGGGUGCCCAGUGGGCCAAUUUUG